ACAUGCAGUCGACGGUAACAGGCCGCAAGGUGCUGACGAGUGGCGAACGGGUGAGUAAUGCAUCGGAACGUGCCCGGUCGUGGGGGAUAACACUUCGAAAGAAGUGCUAAUACCGCAUACGAUCUGAGGAUGAAAGCGGGGGACCGUAAGGCCUCGCGCGAUCGGAGCGGCCGAUGUCAGAUUAGGUAGUUGGUGGGGUAAAGGCUCACCAAGCCAGCGAUCUGUAGCUGGUCUGAGAGGACGACCAGCCACACUGGGACUGAGACACGGCCCAGACUCCUACGGGAGGCAGCAGUGGGGAAUUUUGGACAAUGGGCGCAAGCCUGAUCCAGCAAUGCCGCGUGCAGGAAGAAGGCCUUCGGGUUGUAAACUGCUUUUGUACGGAACGAAACGGUCCGGGUUAAUACCCUGGGCUAAUGACGGUACCGUAAGAAUAAGCACCGGCUAACUACGUGCCAGCAGCCGCGGUAAUACGUAGGGUGCAAGCGUUAAUCGGAAUUACUGGGCGUAAAGCGUGCGCAGGCGGUUUUGUAAGACAGGCGUGAAAUCCCCGGGCUCAACCUGGGAAUUGCGCUUGUGACUGCAAGGCUGGAGUGCGGCAGAGGGGGGAUGGAAUUCCGCGUGUAGCAGUGAAAUGCAUAGAUAUGCGGAGGAACACCGAUGGCGAAAGCAAUCCCCUGGGCCUGCACUGACGCUCAUGCAC
rnacentral:rRNA from 1 species